UUGUAAAUAAGGGCCAUUCUUGAGGCCGGAAGCAGAGAAUUCCCCAGAACAGAUUGAAUUCUGGCUUUGUCUUAAUGAACGUCAAUAUUUAUUACCAAAGGCGGUGUGCUUCUUGGAGUGAUAGAGCAUUUCACCAUUUCAGCCCUCGCCUGUUGCCUUCCCAGGUACCAAAUGCUAUGUAAUUGCGGCUCAUAAAGGCAGCAGACAAUAUUGCCAAGGAAACUCACUCCUGGCUGUAAAUCUUCAUAAUCAAACCCAGCAGAGCUUUGCUUUCUGGUUUGGACAGAGUGUCCCUGAGGGCAGGGCCCACCCAGAUUUUCUAGUCCUCCUUCCUUGGCAGGGAGACCCCCAAACACCCUAUGGUGAGGCAGGGGCUCCUGCUGGGAUUGGGGAUGAGGGCAUCAGCCAGCAAGGGCUGGAGAGGCCGAGAAGUGACAGAAGUUACUGUCCCCACCCCAAUGCAGAGCUGAGAGAGACAGACAAUCACUCAGAAAUCUGGAAGGGCCCUGAGAGGUUAUUCCAUCCAACCUUCUUGCUCUGCAAAUGAGGAAGUGAGGCUCAGAGAGGUGGUUUUUGCAAGGUCACACGGCUCCCAGGCCAGGGCUCUUCCUAUUUGGCCACACCAUCUCCUGGGGGUUAAGGCGUGAGCUCAAAAGAACGCCCUGAGCUAAUUCCUCCUGCAAGGGUGAGUGGCUCCCAGCUGGAGAUUUUCCUCGACUCCUGUUCUGAGGAGGACUGGCCAGGCAUGUUGUAAAACGACCCUCAGAUGUGAUCUGUCUGAUGCUUUUCUUCUGGUUAGCCUGGAGUUCUGGGUUUGGGGGAGGAAGACCGCAGAGGCAAAGUGCCAUUUUCAUCACGUCACAUCACUAGCAUAUCACAGCACUGGCCAUUGUUAGAAUGCACACGUGUGAAGCCAGCUCCAGAGCCCUUUGAUGAUGGGGCUACAUCCCUUCCCAGCAUCUGCUUGCUUCCACACAUGCAGGUGCCAUCUCUCUCCCAUCUCUCCUGAUUCCAGAUCAUCUGACCCUGAUUCCCCAAAUGUCUGAUGCAAGCCGGCUACCUCGGUGGGAGCUGCCUCAUGGAAAGGUCUAAGUGGCAAGGAACUGAGGGAGACCUCCAGCCCACAGCCCGGGAGGCCCUGCGUCUCGUCAACAGCCAAAAGCCCCUGUCCAAAAUUGGUCCAAUGGCUACUCAGAUUGUAUGAGGACCCACAAGGAAAUUUCUCCUUUCAAGGCAUUUCAAGAUAAAGGAAGCUCAUGAAAAGUUCCAGAUAAAGAUGCAGGAUGCUGAAGAAUCAAUAACAUUUAUUGAGUGCUUACUAAGUGCCAGGCACUGUUCUAAAUGUUUUACAUGCAAAGCUCACUUAACAGGGAGAAGGUCCUGCUGCCGGGACAGCCAAGCCCCCAUAGGCCGCUCCACAUACUUCUGUGCAGGCUGACAAAAUGCAAGAAGGUACCUGUGCAAACAUGGCUUUUAAUCAUGGUCAGGAAGACACGUGACCACUGGGUCCAUUUCAAUGACUUCAUCCAUUGUGCUCAACCUCCUGACUCUGCCCCUAUAGCUAUUUUGACAUUCAUUCACAUACUAGCCAAAGCUUUCCUGUCCCCACUACCUCCAUGUAGGCUGCAGCUGGAUAAACCAUCACUUACACCCAUUUUCUGGAAAGUUCUUCUUUGGGCAAGCGCUCAUUGAGUUUCUGAGAAAAGCUGCCAUGGGGGCCAAUGUACCACCUAGGGAAGAAACCCAUCAGCAAGGACAGGCUCGGAGCUCCCCAGAACAGCGUCUGAUUGUCAUAAUGUCAUGUUGGAGAAACGAUAACCUUACCCUGCUUAAAGAGAAACCUCUUGCGUGUCACCAACAAUCAUGCAAACUAGACUCUUAAAAUGAGAUUAGGUCAAAGUACAACCAAUCAAAGCGGGAAUCUCGGUCGCUCUAUGACUUCAUUUAAAGUUUCAGCGCCAGCAGGAAGAAGAAAGAAAUCAAUAUUACAUUUUCUUCAUCAUCAAUUUUGCUUUUUGCUAAAUGAAAAUGCUUUCAUUCCCUCCCUGGUUCCUUCCACCAUGGAAGAUGUUCCUCGUCUCCCCCCCACUCUCCCCCGUUACUAUCUUCACCCCCAUCCUGUUAUGCCAUGUAGGACAGUGCCGUACGUGUGCCUUUUUGGACUAAGCACUUAAGAGUAUUGCAGAGGAUGUCAUCUUAAUUCACCAAAGAUUUGGGAGUCUGACAGUCCUCGCUCAGCUGGCCUUCCUGCUGCAGCUGGGCUCUGACCGUGUUCUGCUCUAUGGAUGGAGCGUGGAUAACUUACUCCAAACAGCUCUUGAGGCCCCAAGGGCACAUCCCCCCUCAAUGCCCUGUGCCAGGCUGUAGUACCAGACCCUGUAGAAGGGAAUUUGAUAGGCAAGGUGAGCCCUUCUUGGAUUCAUUCAUGGGCUUGGGUUACAGAAGCAGCAAAGGGACCUCAUUAUAAGAUGUUCUCAACUGCUCCAUUACAGAAGAACUGUAAGGCUUUUGCUGAACAACACAGUGGUCUUGUUCCCACAGUGGUCCCCACAGCAGUGACCUUCAAGGGCUCUCAACCAGCUCCCACGCUAUUGGCGCUAAGAUAGUCCCAAUCCAGGACUUGACUUACUCGGCAGUAUUUGCGAAGAGAGACAGAAACAAGAAUUUUGCAAUAGAGGAAGGAAAAAUAAUACAAGUCCACGGGGCUGGAAACUCAUUUCCUGAGGAGUAGAAACACAUCGCAUGCUCUCUGGGACUCACCGAGCUCCAGGAAGUUCGACCAGUCACUUAAUAAGUCAUUGAGGACGUGUGGUUUAAUUAACUCGCCCAAAAUUCCUCCUUUCCCUUUCUCACUUUUGCUAUUAAUAUUUUUCGAUAUCUGAUAAUGCAGUGUAGUUAAUUCUUUCUGGCUUUAUAAUGAACACUGCCAUAAUGAAAAAGGUUAGCAGUGCUUCAGGCAGCUUUUAAUUAUCCAGCCGAGCAGGUAAAAGCACUUUAUUCUUCUCUUUUUUUCCCCUUACUUAGCAAUUAAUGGAGGAGCUCAGUGGCACUUACUGUACCUUUUUUGUUUUCUAAUGGAUGAUGCGGCACGGAGCAGGGAGGCCUUACUGUACCCCUGUUACUACCAAGUGCAAACGCUGGAUGUUGCACUGCUGCGAUUCAGGUCUCUGGUUUGCGGGGCGGAAGCAAUUCUGCUGCCGGCUGAAGGCUUCUCUAAUUAAAAAGCCGAGUUACCUGGAGUUGUUGCUACCAAUUCCCUGUCUCGCAGUUUCCUGUCUUUGCAUCUGCACCCAGAGCCCUCCAGAAUGCUUUUAUAGGCCAGGUGGCCUUGCUUUAUGGCAGACAUUUUCCUGGUUCUACUCAAUUGGGCCACCUUCCUUCUAUCCUCCCUGCCUGCCACGGCGAACAACAGCCUUGGGAUUGUUCUCCUUACUUUAUAGACAGGGAAACUGAGGCCCAAGGAGGUUGUCUGCUUGGCCAAGAGCCCUUUCCUUCCGUGCUUAAUGACGCCCAUCCUCGAGCUAACUGUGAUACCCCCUUAUAGGAGGAAAGAGUUUAAAAAUUAUGUGAGCUGCUUCGAAGUUUACUAAUCCAUAAAGUCACAGGGAGCAGAUUUUUAUUACAGGUGGAAUUAUUUGCAUGAUUCCUCUUCAUUAGGCAACAAUAUAAAACAAAACAAAAAAAUUGUUCAGGGAGCGUAUGUCACAUCUUUCUGUGGGUUGAGAAAGGCUGACUGUCCCACAGACUGCAUAUUCUGGUCCCUUUAGAGGGGCUGGACCAAGCUUUAUAAGAGUCCAGGGCCUUCUGAAGAAGAAGGGAUAGAUAGAGACCCCACACCCUCUAAGGUCUAGAGUGGGGACAAUCUCAAGGUGUACCCGUGGUUCUGUGCAAAGUCUAUCUGAAGGGAGGGAUGCCAGAAGCAUUAGGCGGGAAUAUCCCAGGGAUCAAGGGCAACCAGAGCUAGUGAUCUGGGCUUGACCCCAAACUGCUGGGUUUCUGGAGUGGGCCAGCAGCUACACUUGCCUGGCAAUGUACGCUGGGAAUGAGGACCGGCAUCUGAGAAAUGAAGAGAGAUCACUGUUAGGGCGGGAGCCCUUUGGAAGGUGGUUUACGAUGUGACAUCACUCAGGGUACUUGUCUAAUUGUCUCUGUUUUCCAAUAUCUCUUUAGGGAUAAGCUUUGAAAAAAGGGGAGAUAAAAGGUAAAUU